rnacentral:rRNA from 1 species
UACGAAGGGGGCUAGCGUUGUUCGGAAUCACUGGGCGUAAAGCGCACGUAGGCGGACUUUCAAGUCAGGGGUGAAAUCCCGGGGCUCAACCUCGGAACUGCCUUUGAUACUGUUGGUCUUGAGUCCGGAAGAGGUGGGUGGAAUUCCUAGUGUAGCGGUGAAAUGCGUAGAUAUUGGGAGGAACACCAGUGGCGAAGGCGGCUCACUGGACCGGUACUGACGCUGAGGCGCGAAAGCGUGGGGAGCAAACAGG